AGGAAUAUUGGUCAAUGGACGAGAGCCUGAACCAGCCAAGUAGCGUGCAGGAUGACAGCCCUAUGGGUUGUAAACUGCUUUUAUAAGGGAAUAAAGUGAGUCUCGUGAGGCUUUUUGCAUGUACCUUAUGAAUAAGGACCGGCUAAUUCCGUGCCAGCAGCCGCGGUAAUACGGAAGGUCCGGGCGUUAUCCGGAUUUAUUGGGUUUAAAGGGAGCGUAGGCCGGAGAUUAAGCGUGUUGUGAAAUGUAGACGCUCAACGUCUGCACUGCAGCGCGAACUGGUUUCCUUGAGUACGCACAAAGUGGGCGGAAUUCGUGGUGUAGCGGUGAAAUGCUUAGAUAUCACGAAGAACUCCGAUUGCGAAGGCAGCUCACUGGAGCGCAACUGACGCUGAAGCUCGAAAGUGCGGGUAUCGAACAGGAUUAGAUACCCUGGUAGUCCGCACGGUAAACGAUGGAUGCCCGCUGUUGGUCUGAACAGGUCAGCGGCCAAGCGAAAGCAUUAAGCAUCCCACCUGGGGAGUACGCCGGCAACGGUGAAACUCAAAGGAAUUGACGGGGGCCCGCACAAGCGGAGGAACAUGUGGUUUAAUUCGAUGAUACGCGAGGAACCUUACCCGGGCUUGAAUUGCAGAGGAAGGAUUUGGAGACAAUGACGCCCUUCGGGGCCUCUGUGAAGGUGCUGCAUGGUUGUCGUCAGCUCGUGCCGUGAGGUGUCGGCUUAAGUGCCAUAACGAGCGCAACCCCUCUCCUUAGUUGCCAUCAGGUCAUGCUGGGCACUCUGGGGACACUGCCACCGUAAGGUGUGAGGAAGGUGGGGAUGACGUCAAAUCAGCACGGCCCUUACGUCCGGGGCUACACACGUGUUACAAUGGCAGGUACAGAGAGACGGUCCCUUGCAAAAGGGAUCAAAUCCUCAAAGCCUGUCUCAGUUCGGACUGGGGUCUGCAACCCGACCCCACGAAGCUGGAUUCGCUAGUAAUCGCGCAUCAGCCAUGGCGCGGUGAAUACGUUCCCG
rnacentral:rRNA from 1 species